UCCAAACAAGACUAAAGUUAAGUGAAAGAGUGGCCAUGAGUGGACGUUUCACAUUCUUCUGGGCAAAUAUUCGGAGAUGUUUUGUGAAUUUUGAAAAACAAAAAAACAGGUGACUUUACUGGCCAGGCCGGAGAAGUCCGCGACGCUGCCAAGUGCGCGCGCAGCUGAACGCUCAUCCUGGGUGGCCUACCAGAUAGUCCUGUCCCUGCUUGUGUAACCAAGGGACUUCGCUCUAGUUCUCAAUUGUCCCGGUUUGGAUUCGGGGGUCCCUCCAAGGGACUGCCACCCUCCUCUGUCUAACCAGCGAAAUCUGAAUUUGCAAGACCUGUCAGGGGAAACGGGUUCGAUCCCUGGUCCAGGAAGAUCCCACCUGCCGCGGAGCAACUAAGCCCCUGCGCCACAACUACUGAGCGUACGGUCUAGAGCCUGCGUGUCACAGCUACUGAAGCCCGCGCAUCUAGAGCCCGUGCUCCGCAACAAAAAGAAGCCACCACAAUGAGAAGCCCACACACCACAACGAAGCGUAAACCCCGAUUGCUGCAGCUAGAGAAGGCCCUCACGCAGCAGAGAAGACCCAAUGCAGCCAAAAAUAAAAAAAUAAA